rnacentral:lncRNA from 1 species
UCGGAACUGCGCUGCGCGAGCAGCUGGGCGCUGGAGGUGAAGAGGCGGAGGAGGAGGAGGAGGGAGUGAGGGGAGGAGAGAAAAGAGGGUGGGGAGGGGACCGCGGGCGGCGGGGGGAGGGGAACGCGCCGCCAGGGCAGACAAUGAGCGCCGCUCAGCCUGCGGUUGUGGGCCGAGCCCAGAGUACCUUCCCGGGAGUGGGGGCGAGCCCUUCGAGGGGGCGCAGAGCCCUGGGACGCCCGGGGAGGGGCGGAGGUGGAGGAACGCUUGACCUGGCUGGCGACCCACACCCAUCCGGCGGCGCAGCACUUUCCUCCGCCCCCAGUUACACACGCACUCACGGGGGCGGGUGGGGGGAGCAGUGGUUGUGCAAAGCCCCGCGCUGCCACCGCGGCGGGAGGGAUGCGCCAGCUUUCGGGUCAACGUGCCCCCCAGAAUGAGGGGGAAAGUGCUUUGCUCUUUGGGCCUGCCCCGUUCUUCUGUCCACGUUAGAAGAGUUUUUGUUGUUCUGCAGCUGUAUGGGACUGACCUUAAACUUUCCCCGACCUCUUCUCGAGACCCUGGGGCUCGGGUCGUGGUGGCCACCGGGGAUCGAGGAUCGAAAUAUAUGGAAAAGAAGGAACUCCAGUGCCCAGCUUCUUAUCUCUACCCUGCUUUUUAGAAACAGACUAUAAAUUCCCAGGAGGUUUCGGGAGUUCACGUCUGCACUCACCAGCUAACCUUUGGGAAAAACCUUUUGAUUCGGGGUCCUGGUGUACUUAAAGGCUAGUCCCUGAAGGUGCGCGUGAUGGAAAAAAGGGCUUCCACCCCAGUCGCGCCCCAAGAUGCUCUCCAAGUUUUGGUGUCCCGUUUGCUCUGAGCUUAUCCUGGAGAAUUUCAGGUAAGUCUUGGAUAAGUCAUUGGAAAGGGGGAGGGGGGUCAACUUCCCUGGACCCAGCGGGAAGUACCGCUUCCCCACCCCCACCCUCACAUACACACCCCUUCUUCUCUCCCUCCAAAUGGUUAUCACAACUGUGUACAAACUGAUACGGUCCUGAGCCGGCAAAGGGACUGGAAAUGAACGUCGCAGGGUUAUCAGCGCCGAUCUGUCAGCAGCGAGGCGCGCGGCCGCAGGUUGGUCCGCAGGAGCUGUGAUAUAUGUCUCGCUCCCUUUAGCGCACAAAAACAUUUCUUCCGACAGACGUGACCCCAGAAGGCCGCGGAGAGAGAAUUUUAACUAGGGCAGGAGGAGUUGCUUUGUGAGAAUGGAUUUUACAAUUUUUUUCCAGGUAAAUCGAAGUAAAUGAUUUUCUAAAGGUCAGUCUCCCUGAAAGCAUUUGGGCUUGCUCUCUCUCUCUCUCUCUCUCUCUCUCUCUCUCUCCUUUUUUAAUAUUGUGUUUUUCCAGUUGGAAAAGGAAGACAAGACUAAGAGAGUUGAACCGGGGUAGGUAGGGACAUUGUAAAAUAUGGUUUAGAGAGGUCGUGAGACUGAGUCGCUGAAAGUAUGUUUCCUCACUAUAAUAGUGAGCUGUGAACCUGUGUAUUGUAGGGAGAGAAGGGGACAGACCCUGGCAAUGAGGGGGAGGAGGUCGCCGAAUCGAGGAAGUCGAAGAGAGUUCUUUUUUUAAUUUGUUUUCCGUUCUUCGUUGUAAAUUGCUGCUAAACACUUCUGACUUUUAAAUUGCUACUAAGACGGUCCAUAAACCGUUCUCAUCCAAUUUAGUCACUUUUAUUACAUUCCUCUUUGCUUCCCCCAAUCACUGUGGCGGUUCCCAGUUUCAAUGUGGCCACAAUCGGAACCAGUGAAGGUAGAAAACUCUGGAACAGAGAUCGGCGACCGGAGCAGGAUUCAGGGCUUUAAAUUUUAACCUGAGUUCGAUCGAAUGGGACUGGCAGAAGAGCUGACCUGGCGUCCGCCUGCCAGUUAACUCCGACCAGGGUUGAAAGCUACUUUCUUUUGGGUUUUUCGUGAGUUUCCGACCAAGUUUUUAACAGACUCAGUUUUUUCAGAAGCUCAUUUGUAAGCAGUUACAGAAACGUUGUGGACAUUUGAUUUUCUUUGGGGCCAACUGUUGCCAAGUGCUUCUCAGUUUUACUCUUAAAAGCAAAGGUUUUUUUUUUUCUUUUUUCUUAAUUCAUAUCUCAGUGAGGUGAUUUCUAAUGCGGACGAGUUUUUAAAAAUCCUCUGGCUAAGUUAGAUUCCAGGAUGUGAAUGGCCUCCAAGCCUGAGCCCUGAGAAGACCCAGACCCGAACCUGAUUCCUGUUGUGUGUGUUUCUUUAUAUUAGGAAGUAUGAAGGUGUCUGAAUUUCCUUGGACAAUAGCUAAGCCCCCAGGGACGUGCUUUCCCCGCAGCUCCGCAGCAGCUGUACGAGGGUGCACCGGCCCUGACACCGCUGGGACAGACCGUGACCGACCCCACAACGUGCGGUCUCAAAUGGCUCGAGAAGGCGCCCGGGAUUUUACCUUCCAGAUUCCCAAUCUCUUUUUAACAUUGCCUAAAACAAGGGUGGGCAGUUGCAAUUUGCUCCUUUGCACGGUCACAAUUUUUUUUAGACUGGUUUUCCAACUAAAGGAAAUGAGGGGUAGUAAAAUGGUUUUUCUUUUUUUUUUCUUUUCAGUUCGCUUAAAAAUAAAACAAAACCGUUUAACCCGUAGAGUUUAUCCAGACAACAAGCUAAGGCUGCCUGACCCAUCCAGUGUACCAUUUCCCCAAUGCAUUGGAUUUGGCCCUGGGGAAAACACCCCCGGAAGUAGUGGCACAUUUUCAAAGCCACCCCUAAGGGACCCUGGGUCCCGCGCUUCCUUUGAGCACACCAGCUGGUCCAGAAAGGAGGGCAGAAUAGGGAUGCGGAGGGAAAAAGUGCACCCCAAACUAGGGAGGAACCCGAGAGCUGGAGAAGUCCCCCAUAAUUCCCCAGUGAAUAGGCUGCUAGAAGUUCUAUUCUCUUCGCGGUUUUUUCUUUAUCUUUUUCCUUUCCUUUUCCUUCCGUCUGUCUCCUUUUUGAGGAGAUUUACUAAACUGAAACGAAAUUAUUUCUCCCCGGACUAUUUAGACUCGAGGAGGGGCCCCUCUGGAGUGAGCCUUCCGUCCUCAAGCCGCCCUCCUCGCCCUCGGAGAGGUGCUGGCUCCGAAAUGCGACCUGUCCCCAAGGCUGAUUUAUUUGGGCUGCGCCACACUACUAUUUGCGAUUCGAAUCCAGCCGGAAUCCGGCAGCCAAUUGGGCAGGGGGCGGAGGCUUUGCUGCCAAAUGCGAAGGGGUGUUUGGGAACCCAGUGGUGCUCUGUUUCCAGAGGAGGGCGAGACCCGGGUGAGGACCGAGAAACGACACGCCUUUACCCGCCCCCCGAAACCUUAAGCUCAAUAAGUUGUCAGUUCACAAAGCUCCCGGCUGCUCCAGCGAGGUUUCGGAAAGAAAGAAUACAAUUUCUGAUUUAAAACGUAGUUUUAAAUUGAGAGUUUUAAAAAAGAUCUCUGGGGCCUUCUUGCCGUUACCGCAUUUCUUGCUGUCCCUGGGACGCUUUUGACGAAGGACACGGGUCGCCCCGGUGCCCCCACCCCAGCCAGCAUCCUGCCCCAAUAGUCGGGUUGGGGCGGCCUGUCCCCCGGACUCAGCGGCUGCCAAUCCAAUGCAAGCGCGUCCAGAGAGUCCAGGCGGUGUUUGGGGUGGGGGAGGGCGGGUUGUCUCUCUCUCUCUCUCUCUCUCUCUCUCUCUCCCCCCCCUNNNNNNNNNNNNNNNNNNNNNNNNNNNNNNNNNNNNNNNNNNNNNNNNNNNNNNNNNNNNNNNNNNNNNNNNNNNNNNNNNNNNNNNNNNNNNNNNNNNNNNNNNNNNNNNNNNNNNNNNNNNNNNNNNNNNNNNNNNNNNNNNNNNNNNNNNNNNNNNNNNNNNNNNNNNNNNNNNNNNNNNNNNNNNNNNNNNNNNNNNNNNNNNNNNNNNNNNNNNNNNNNNNNNNNNNNNNNNNNNNNNNNNNNNNNNNNNNNNNNNNNNNNNNNNNNNNNNNNNNNNNNNNNNNNNNNNNNNNNNNNNNNNNNNNNNNNNNNGGUAAGUUAGGGCCGCGAUAAGCGGGCGACCAGAGAAGGGUCGCUGUAAAAGCCCCACGCUGGGCGCCUCCUAGCCCUCCCCUCAUCCAUUAACCUUUUUACUUUCUUCUUCCCUCUCUCUUUUAAAGCUUGUUAUCUAGGCCACCCAUGACCGACGAAAGAUCUUCCCUCCCGGCUUCUCCCAAGGCCGCUUUAACCCAAAUAAAUUUGGCUAUUAAGGGCCAAGAUGCCUGACAAAAGAUCGAAAGGUGUCUAUCCGUGAUCGCUUAAAGAAGCGGAGGAAAAGCUUGUGGCUCUCUGAUCCCGAUAAAGACAUUCCACCCGGCGCCGGCCUCCCUUCCCGCGGCCUGGCUGCGCCCUGACACCCUGAGAUCGCGGCCUCACUGGCGCACACCUCCACGGGCCCGGCGGGACCUGUGUCCGCUGCACCGGGAAUGUGGAGGUCCCCAGGCUGCCUGGGUCCCGGGGUCCGUGGAACUCCAGGCCGGACGGAGCUGGGCUCCCAAAACAGACACCCUGCACUUACCAGAAAAACUAAACCGAGCUCACUGGGGCCUGAAUUACCGUCCCGUUUUGAUUAUUUUCUGAUGUUGAAUAAUUCUACCUUCCCACCCCCCACUCCCUGGGGUUUCGCCGAGGGGCGAUGUUAUUCCAUAUCUCUGGUUGUCUGGAGCAGCCCUUCUUUGGAACCCCGGUCAGAACCGAUGGGUGGAACUGGACAGCUGAAUUAGACUGAGGCCAAUGCGGCGGGUGUGGACUCGCAAAUGAAGAGCGUGCAGGUGGGAGGCAGAGGUCCAAUCCCUCGGUCAUCCCCAGGUUGGGUUUGGUUAUGAAAUGCGGUGUUUAUUAUCAUUAUUAAUUACUAUUGGCAUAACUACACAAAGCCUAGGGCUGCCAGCUGGGCCGAGGCCCUGCCCCUGGGGUGAUCCUUUUCACUAAAGCGAGGCAGGACUAUCCACUUUCCUGAUCCAGGACUGAAGAGGGGGCUUGGGGAGUCAGGUGCCACGUUUUGGAGGUCUCCGCGCUGAGCCAUUUCUUCUUCCCUUAAGUAGAUGUAGCAUUCCCCCGGACUCUAGUCUCACCUAAGCCUUUUCUGCCACUUUGCAACAUGGGUAGUUAAGAACCUUCAGGGGUGGCAGGUUAGAGAGACAGCGCUGGCUUCCCUGCAACGGGGAUUCAUUCCUCUUAGAUCUUGUGCUGUCCCCUUCUGUUCUAUGGUGAAGCUGGAGACAGGACUCUGAAUUCCAAAGGCAAUCUAACAUCUUCGGUUUCUGUCUGUCACCUCAUGCUGGGUCCCGGAAGUUAAAGAUGACUCCCUUUUCUCAUUGCCUUCCUCCAAAUAAGGUGAACUCCAAAGCCAUCCACCUCAUCUAAUCCUUCCCCCUCAUCCAGCCACCCCUCCGGGGUGGGGGGUGGGGGGGAUAGGAAAAACCAGAGCAUCAGAAGGAAAGGGAUCAUCUCUGCUCCCCCAAAGGUGAAAGAGACAGAAAUUUCCAACACACUAGACAUGAAAGACCUGAAUUUUGCUGGUAUCACUAGAUGUGCAGAUAAUGCCAAUUCUAGGGUCAGAGUCCAGAUGCCACUGCCCCAGAGCUGUCUCAGCUCAGAGACCUUUCUGUUUCUCUUUUCUUGGUUGGGGGGGAGGGGGUAAUGUUGCUAAGAGGGAGCAGAAAAGGAGGUGAUAAGCUUUUGGAGAUUUGCUAAGUAACUAAUGCUCCUCCUUGAGUCAAUUAAAGGGGAGAGAAAUGCCCCCAAAAUAAAAAAUUACUGCAUUUGCCACCCAGAACUAUGACCUCUGCAUUCAGUUAUGUUGCAAAUAUGCAGAGAAUCAGGACCGAGAGUUGUCUACCCAUAUGCAGCCCUCCAGUUUCCUGCGCUUGCCCAACAACACUACUGAGUAUAUAUACUGCACAAAGAGAACUAGAAGAGUUAGCUCCUAGUUUUGAAGUGUUUACAGUCUAGAAGUUUGGGACUUCUGUGGAGCCGGUUAGGCAAAGUACCACAGACAGUUUCAAAGAUGGAGGGAGGUGUUUGAGCCUUUCCCUAGAAGAGUUUACCCAGGCUCAUAUUGUCUUCUAGGCUUCACAGUGAGUUUGUAAAGAACCGAGUCACUCUGGCUCACAGACUAAGAGAAUUGCCUGGGUUGGAAUCUUGAUUCUGCCACUUUCUAACUGUGUGACCAGGACAAAUUGCCUAACCUCUCUGCGCCUCAGUUUUCUCAUCUGUAACAUGAGGAUGAUAAAAGUAACUCCCUGAUAGGAUUGUUUAAGGGGAUUAAAAGAUUUCUUAAAUGGAAAGUGCCAAGAGUACCUGGCACAUAGUAAGCACUAUGUUAAGUGUGAACUAUUAUUACCAAUAUCUAUAUUGUAAUAGACUCACAUAUACUACACUGAAUUUCAAUUUCUUGUGUGACCCAGCUGUUCCCUGGAGUGAAUUAAUUUCCAAGAAAGAACUUCUUUCAGCACCCAUUCAACUUUGAGUCUUGCCAUUCAUUAGAGGCCUCAGGCUUUUUCUAGGUACCAGCACUGAGGAUUUUAUUUAUUGCAUUAUGGUAGGAAAGUGUGGGCUGAGACAAACAUAGUUCUUUACUUGCUUUUGGUUCCUUUGAAGAAGAAACGUUCCUUGUUGUUCUCCCUUGCAAAUCCCAGCAGCAGACUCCAG